rnacentral:misc_RNA from 1 species
GAAAUGCGAUAAGUAGUGUGAAUUGCAGAAUUCAGUGAAUCAUCGAAUCUUUGAACGCACAUUGCGCCCUUUGGUAUUCCUUAGGGCGUGCCUGUUCGAGCGUCAUUUAAACCCUUCAAGCUCAGCUUGGUGUUGGGUGACUGUCCGCCGCCCCCGGGCGUGGACUCGCCCCAAAUCCAUUGGCGGCCGGUACGUAGGCUUCGAGCGCAGCAGAAACGCGAACUCGAGCCCGCGGUGUCGGCUCCCAGAAGCCAUCUCUUUUAUUUUGACCUCGGAUCAGGUAGGGAUACCCGCUGAACUUAAGC